rnacentral:rRNA from 1 species
CCUACGGGAGGCAGCAGUGGGGAAUAUUGCACAAUGGGGGAAACCCUGAUGCAGCGUCGCCGCGUGAGUGAAGAAGUAUUUCGGUACGUAAAGCUCUAUCAGCAGGGAAGAAAAUGACGGUACCUGACUAAGAAGCCCCGUCUCACUACGUGCCAGCAGCCGCGGUAAUACGUAGGGGGAAAGCGUUAUCCGGAGUUACUGGGUGUAGAGGGAGCGUAGACGGCAGCGCAAGUCUGGAGUGAAAUCCCAUGGCUUAACCAUGGAACUGCUUUGGAAACUGUGCAGCUAGAGUGCAGGAGAGGUAAGCGGAAGUCCUAGUGUAGCGGUGAAAUUCGUAGAUAUGAGGAGGAACACCAGUGGCGAAGGCGGCUUACUGGACUGUAACUGACGUUGAGGCUCGAAAGCGUGGGGAGCAAACAGGAUUAGAUACCCUAGUAGUC